rnacentral:rRNA from 1 species
ACUGGCCGCCGGGGGGCUCACGCCCCCGGGCCCGCGCCCGCCGAAGACACCUCCGAACUCUGUCUGAAGAUUGAAGUCUGAGUGAAAAUAUAAAUUAUUUAAAACUUUCAACAACGGAUCUCUUGGUUCCGGCAUCGAUGAAGAACGCAGCGAAAUGCGAUACGUAAUGUGAAUUGCAAAUUCAGUGAAUCAUCGAGUCUUUGAACGCACAUUGCGCCCCCUGGUAUUCCGGGGGGCAUGCCUGUCCGAGCGUCAUUGCUGCCCUCAAGCACGGCUUGUGUGUUGGGCCCCGUCCUCCGAUUCCGGGGGACGGGCCCGAAAGGCAGCGGCGGCACCGCGUCCGGUCCUCGAGCGUAUGGGGCUUUGUCACCCGCUCUGUAGGCCCGGCCGGCGCUUGCCGAUCAACCCAAAUUUUUAUCCAGGUUGACCUCGGAUCAGGUAGGGAUACCCGCUGAACUUA